UGUUUCUGUGAUGAUAUCUUGGCUCCCUCUUCUGAACUUUCUGUGGAAGCUUGCCACUGUUACCCAAUUCUUGUCUGAGAUUCG